GCCCCUGUAGCUCAGCGGAUAGAGCAUUGGUUUCCUAAACCAUGUGCCCCGGUUCGAUUCCGGGCAGGGGUACCA
rnacentral:tRNA from 1 species